rnacentral:rRNA from 1 species
GAGUACCUACGGGGGGCAGCAGUGAGGAAUAUUGGUCAAUGGGCGCAAGCCUGACCCAGCAACGCCGCGUGAAGGAAGAAGGCUUUCGGGCUGUAAACUUCUUUUCUCAGGGACGAAGCAAGUGACGGUACCUGAGGAAUAAGCCACGGCUAACUACGUGCCAGCAGCCGCGGUAAUACGUAGGUGGCAAGCGUUAUCCGGAUUUACUGGGUGUAAAGGGCGUGUAGGCGGGAAAGCAAGUCAGAUGUGAAAACCACGGGCUCAACCUGUGGCCUGCAUUUGAAACUGUUUUUCUUGAGUACUGG